UAGCGCACCUCGAUUCUAUUUUUAAAGGGUAUUCAAACUAAAGCUCGAGGGGCCACAAACUAUGAGUUCUAAUUAUGGCUCACGUCAAAUAUGUGAAAUAGUCUAACUUAAAUAAAAUGGAAGCCCAAAAGAACUCAACACACAUUUUAUGUUGAAAUUUAAAACUUAAAAUGAAAUAAGUAAAUAAUGAUUUGUUUCCCCUAGAAGCUAAACCCCAUGACGCACUGCAAUUACAGAACUCACAAGUUUAAAUAAUUUGGGCCAAACUUGAAAACAUGCCCAAUUAGUACAUAAUGGAGCGGCAAAGUGGAUAUACAAGAUCAAUGCUUAAUGCCAUAUCCCCAUUCCAGGUCGUCUCUUUGCGUUCAGUCCCAAUAGACCUUAGUCGAGCAACACAAUGCACAAGCUAGAGGUUUCUGGGUGCCAUGUCGAGCCCGUGUAGCACUGGAAAUCAUCAAAUUUGAGAAAUGACAACAAAAGGUUCUAGGCAUCAUUAUCUUUGUAAGUGACAAAACAAUCGAAUUAAUUAAUCAAAACUAUUUGGUAUCAAAAGCUGACUAAAACCAAUUGAACAUUUCUCUAAACCCUUUUACUCAUAAAAUAUAUUCAGAUGCCAAAUGAAGAGAUCAUAAAAUUUAUAACUAUCGAAAACCAUGAAGCUCAAAUAAUUAUGUUCAUUCCUUGACUUUCAAUAUCUGAAAAUACUGUAUAAACCCUUCGACUUUCUACCGUUUUCAGCUAAACUCAUUCACACGCCAUAAUUACUUUAUGAAGAAUGGGAACACCAACCCAGCAAGAAUUACAUUUACACAGUCCCUUUGUAAUUAAUUUACACAAUGGAAAGUUGUUCUAAAUGUUGAAUACCUUUACACACUUUAACAUGGUGCCUAGAAAAUUCAAAAUUAUUCCAACUCUCACAGAAUCAACUCACAAAAAUAUUCAAUUGAACAUGUAUUAUAUAAAAAGGCAAGGUACAUAAAAACAGACAUAUAGCUAACUAGAAGUCAAAUAUCUAAAACUCAAACACUUGGAACUCCAUUUUUAUAUCUUCAUUAUCCAAAUUGAACAUCACAUUAUAAGUUUCAGGAAUAUGUACCUGAUUUGACAAACAAGACCACGAUAAAAUGAGAGAUCAAGAGGCACCAACAGUAACGCAGGGUCAACAUAAUCAGCUCAAACCAAGGAGAAGGGAAGCAACAGAACAUUCUCACUUAAACUAGCAUUAAAGCAGCUUCGAAAACCAACUAAAAACAUUCAAUUUCACUCCAUCUUGAACACCAAAGAGAAUCAGGGAUUUGUUUAGGAAAUUAACGCUUCCAUAUAUCAUAUAAAGACAAAUGGACCAGUAUUUUAUUUAGUUUCCAUCUGUCUCUCUUUUCUGGAUUUUUAGCUCUCCAAAACCUGAAUUGAGCCGCAACUAUGCCUUUACAGGAAAGUCACU
rnacentral:lncRNA from 1 species